rnacentral:misc_RNA from 1 species
UUUCCGUAGGUAAACCUGCGGAAGGGUCAUUAAUGAGUUGUCAUGGGGUUCGAUGCUGGCAGCCAAUUUUUGGAUGCAUGUGCUUGCCCUAACAAUCAUCUUCCAAACACCUGUGCACAUUUUUGAGGGAGUCUUGAGUUGGUUGCCGCUCUUGGGUGAUUUUCUCACAUUCCCUUAAAUCAUUAUACGCUAUUAACAAUGUUGAACGUGCUCUGUGCCGCAAGGCUAUUAAUAUAAUACAACUUUUAACAACGGAUCUCUUGGCUCUC